AGCGAACGCUGGCGGCAGGCCUAACACAUGCAAGUCGAACGAACUCUUCGGAGUUAGUGGCGGACGGGUGAGUAACACGUGGGAACGUGCCUUUAGGUUCGGAAUAACUCAGGGAAACUUGUGCUAAUACCGAAUGUGCCCUUCGGGGGAAAGGUUUAUCGCCUUUAGAGCGGCCCGCGUCUGAUUAGCUUGUUGGUGGGGUAAUGGCCCACCAAGGCGACGAUCAGUAGCUGGUCUGAGAGGAUGACCAGCCACAUUGGGACUGAGACACGGCCCAAACUCCUACGGGAGGCAGCAGUGGGGAAUCUUGCGCAAUGGGCGAAAGCCUGACGCAGCCAUGCCGCGUGGAUGAUGAAGGUCUUAGGAUUGUAAAAUCCUUUCACCGGUGAAGAUAAUGACUGUAGCCGGAGAAGAAGCCCCGGCUAACUUCGUGCCAGCCGCCGCAGUAACAC
rnacentral:rRNA from 1 species